rnacentral:rRNA from 1 species
GAUGAACGCUGGCGGCGUGCCUAAUACAUGCAAGUCGAGCGAACAGAUAAGGAGCUUGCUCCUUUGACGUUAGCGGCGGACGGGUGAGUAACACGUGGAUAACCUACCUAUAAGACUGGGAUAACUUCGGGAAACCGGAGCUAAUACCGGAUAACAUAUUGAACCGCAUGGUUCAAUAGUGAAAGGCAGCUUUGCUGUCACUUUUAGAUGGAUCCGCGCCGUAUUAGCUAGUUGGUAAGGUAACGGCUUACCAAGGCGACGAUACGUAGCCGACCUGAGAGGAUGAUCGGCCACACUGGAACUGAGACACGGUCCAGACUCCUACGGGAGGCAGCAGUAGGGAAUCUUCCGCAAUGGGCGAAAGCCUGACGGAGCAACGCCGCGUGAGUGAUGAAGGUCUUCGGAUCGUAAAGCUCUGUUAUCAGGGAAGAACAAAUGUGUAAGUAACUGUGCACAUCUUGACGGUACCUGAUCAGAAAGCCACGGCUAACUACGUG